rnacentral:rRNA from 1 species
UACGAAGGGGGCUAGCGUUGCUCGGAAUCACUGGGCGUAAAGCGCACGUAGGCGGCUUUCUAAGUCUGGGGUGAAAUCCUGGAGCUCAACUCCAGAACUGCCUUUGAUACUGGAGAGCUUGAGUCCGGAAGAGGUGAGUGGAACUCCGAGUGUAGAGGUGAAGUUCGUAGAUAUUCGGAAGAACACCAGUGGCGAAGGCGGCUCACUGGUCCGGUACUGACGCUGAUGUGCGAAAGCGUGGGGAGCAAACAGG